rnacentral:rRNA from 1 species
CCAAUCAAAUUCCGUGAUAGCUGGUUCUCUCCGAAAUGCAUUUGGGUGCAGCGUCGGGUCAUUACGUCCCGGGGGUAGAGCUACUGGAUGCUUGCGGGCCCGUAUCGGGUACCAACAGCAACCAAACUCCGAAUACCGGUGACGCGUAUCCCGGCAGUGAGUCGGCGGGGGAUAAGCUUCGUCGUCGAAAGGGAAACAGCCCAGACCGUCGUCUAAGGUCCCGAAGCGUGUGCUAAGUGGGAAAGGAUGUGGAGUCGCAUAGACAGCCAGGAGGUUGGCUCAGAAGCAGCCACCCUUGAAAGAGUGCGUAACAGCUCACUGGUCUAGUGGUUCCGCGCCGACAAUGUAGCGGGGCUCAAGCACACCACCGAAGACGCGGCAGUAUUUUGUACUGGGUAGGAGAGCGUCCCAUGAGGGGCGAAGCGGCCGUGUGAACGCGCCGUGGACUUCAUGGGAGUGAGAAUGCAGACAUGAGUAGCGAGAGACGGGUGAAGAUCCCGUCCGCUGGAUGACCAAGGGUUCCAGGGCCACGUUCAUCGUCCCUGGGUGAGUCGGGUCCUAAGGCGAGGCCGACAGGCGUAGUCGAAUGGAUGAACGGGUCGAUAUUCCCGUACCGGCUUUCAGCCGCCAAAACCGAGGCUUGGAGUACUAACCUCCGGGUCCGGGCUUACUGCUCCUUCGGGGGCGGGAUGCCCUGGCCUGUUGGGACCGAUCCUUGUAGUAGGUCAGCGCAGGAGUGACGCAGAAGGGUAGCCGGCCGCGGAGGUGGUCUUCCGUGGUCAAGCACGCAGGGCGUGGGACAGGCAAAUCCGUCCCGCAUGGGUCCGAGGUGCGAUGAUGGGGGUCUUAUGGCCCGAUAUCCGGUGAUCCCGGCUGCCGAGAAAAGCUUCGGCGUCAGGCUCGAAGCCGCCCGUACCCCAAACCGACACUGGUGGUCAGGUAGAGAAUACCAAAGCGAUCGAGCGAAUCCUGGUCAAGGAACUCGGCAAAUCACUCCCGUUCCUUCGGUUUAAGGGAGACCCCCGAUGGUGAACACACUUGCUGUGGGAGCUUUUGGGGGUGGCACAGACCAGGGGGUAGCGACUGUUUACCAAAAACACAGGUGCAUGCGAAGGCGCAAGCCGCUGUAUAUGCACUGACGCCUGCCCGGUGCCGGAAGGUUAAGAGGAUCCGUCAGCCUUCGGGUGAAGCGGUGAAUUCAAGCCCCGGUAAACGGCGGUGGUAACUAUAACCAUCCUAAGGUAGCGAAAUUCCUUGUCGGGUAAGUUCCGACCUGCACGAAUGGCGUAACGACUUCCCCACUGUCUCGACCAGGAGCUCGGCGAAAUUGCAGUACGAGUAAAGAUGCUCGUUAAGCGCAGAAGGACGAAAAGACCCCGGGACCUUUACUAUACCUUGGUAUUGGCAUUCGGUGUGGAUUGUGUAGCAUAGGCGGGAGGCCGAGAGGCGCGGUCGCCAGAUCGCGCGGAGCCGUAAGGUGAAAUACCGCUCUGUUCGCAUUGGAUGUCUAACCUCGAACAGUCAUCCUGUUCAGGGACAGUGCCUGGCGGGUAGUUUAACUGGGGCGGUUGCCUCCCAAAGAGUAACGGAGGCGCCCAAAGGUCCGCUCAGCCCGGUUGGCAAUCGGGUGGCGAGUGCAAGUGCACAAGCGGGCUUGACUGCGAGGACGACGGUCCGAGCAGGGACGAAAGUCGGGACUAGUGAUCCGGUGCCGGUGUACGGACGCGGCAUCGCUCAACGGAUAAAAGGUACCCCGGGGAUAACAG